GAAACAACGUUCAUCAUCUCCUCUCUGAAUAAUGCUCUGGUUACGAUCUCCUCUCUAAACAAACAACGUUCAUCAUCUCCUCCGUGUAAAGAAGCUCUCCAACAACGCCGUUCUUCCUUCUAGGGUUUCUCCUCUCUCCGCCGGUUACGAUCUCUCCAGCUCUGUUAGGGAUUUUUGGGUCUUCCUUGAAGCAUUGGAUUGACGUUGGUGCGGGGGUGAUUGACGACGAUCUCAG